ensembl:lncRNA
GAUGAAAGCAGAGGCAUGAGGCAAAGAUGAAAUGGACAGCUACAUCCUCACGGAAUCUGUGCAUGUUUACCAAAACACCAAAUGGAUAAGUAGCGGCCCUGAUGGUGGGAAACGGCCGGGGCUCCAACGGCUGAGUGGGCCUGCUGACAGACAGGCAGAUGUUCAAACAGAGUUCUUUUGUGAGGCAGGAGGCUGCUGUGUUUGGGCGCUUUUAAGCAGACACUGUGCGAUGGAGAUUAGAAGCAGGCUGUGUAACGAUGUAACGGUUUGGGGAUGUUUUGAUGUAGCUGAUUCCUUUGCAAUGUGAAUGGCAAUUUAAGCCAAUUGUUUUGUCUAAAGGGGAAAUGUGCCGGACCAAACCGCCUUACUGGUACAC